UACGAAGGGGGGCUAGCGUUACUCGGAUUGACUGGGCGUAAAGGGCGCGUAGGCGGUUUGUACAGUCAGACGUGAAAUUCCUGGGCUCAACCUGGGGGCUGCGUUUGAUACGUGCAGACUUGAGUUCGGAAGAGGGUCGUGGAAUUCCCAGUGUAGAGGUGAAAUUCGUAGAUAUUGGGAAGAACACCGGUGGCGAAGGCGGCGACCUGGUCCGAUACUGACGCUGAGGCGCGAAAAGCGUGGGGGAGCAAACAGG
rnacentral:rRNA from 1 species